CCAAGCUUGCUUGGUUGAUUAGUGGCGAACGGGUGAGUAACACGUGAGUAACCUGCCCCUUACUUUCCUGGAUAACUGCUCGAAAGGGUAGCUAAUACGGGAUAUUCUGACCAUCCUGCAUGGGUUGGUUUGGAAAGGUUGUUUUUCUGGUAAGGGAUGGGCUCGCGGCCUAUCAGCUUGUUGGUGGGGUGAUGGCCUACCAAGGCUUUGACGGGUAGCCGGCCUGAGAGGGUGGACGGUCACACUGGGACUGAGAUACGGCCCAGACUCCUACGGGAGGCAGCAGUGGGGAAUAUUGCACAAUGGGCGCAAGCCUGAUGCAGCGACGCCGCGUGAGGGAUGAAGGCCUUCGGGUUGUAAACCUCUUUCGUCAGGGAACAAGGCACUGCUUUUUUGGUGGUGUUGAGGGUACCUGGAUAAGAAGCGCCGGCUAACUACGUGCCAGCAGCCGCGGUAAUACGUAGGGCGCAAGCGUUGUCCGGAAUUAUUGGGCGUAAAGAGCUCGUAGGCGGCUGGUCGCGUCUGUCGUGAAAACUUCCGGCUCAACCGGGGGCUUGCGGUGGGUACGGGCCGGCUAGAGUGCGGUAGGGGUAACUGGAACUCCUGGUGUAGCGGUGGAAUGCGCAGAUAUCAGGAAGAACACCGAUGGCGAAGGCAGGUUACUGGGCCGUUACUGACGCUGAGGAGCGAAAGCGUGGGGAGCGAACAGGAUUAGAUACCCUGGUAGUCCACGCCGUAAACGUUGGGCACUAGGUGUGAGGCUCCUU
rnacentral:rRNA from 1 species